rnacentral:tmRNA from 1 species
GGGGCUGAUUCUGGAUUCGACGGGAUUUGCGAAACCCAAGGUGCAUGCCGAGGGGCGGUUGGCCUCGUAAAAAGCCGCAAAAA